AGAGUUUGAUCAUGGCUCAGAAUCAACGCUGGCGGCGCGCUUAACACAUGCAAGUCGCACGAGAAAGUGGAGCAAUCCAUGAGUACAGUGGCGUACGGGUGAGUAACACGUGGAUCAUCUACCUUUUAGUGGGGAAUACCCCUGGGAAACUGGGGACAAUACCGCAUAAGCCUGUAAAGGGAAAGCCGAAAGGCGCUGAAAGAGGAGUCCGCGGCUGAUUAGCUAGUUGGCGGGGUAACGGCCCACCAAGGCGAAGAUCGGUAGCCGGCCUGAGAGGGCACACGGCCACACUGGCACUGAAACACGGGCCAGACUCCUACGGGAGGCAGCAGUGGGGAAUCUUGCACAAUGGAGGAAACUCUGAUGCAGCGACGCCGCGUGAGCGAUGAAGCCCUUCGGGGUGUAAAGCUCUUUCGACGGGAACGAUAAUGACGGUACCCGGAGAAGAAGCUGCGGCUAACUACGUGCCAGCAGCCGCGGUAAUACGUAGGCAGCGAGCGUUGUUCGGAAUUACUGGGCGUAAAGAGUGUGUAGGCGGUGCUCUAAGUCUGUCGUGAAAUCUCCCGGCUUAACCGGGAGGGUGCGGCGGGAACUGGAGUGCUAGAGGGUGGGAGAGGUAAGCGGAAUUCCUGGUGUAGCGGUGAAAUGCGUAGAUAUCAGGAGGAACACCUGCGGUGUAGACAGCUUACUGGACCACUUCUGACGCUGAGACACGAAAGCGUGGGUAGCAAACAGGAUUAGAUACCCUAGUAGUCC
rnacentral:rRNA from 1 species